AACAAACGCUGGCGGCGUGCCUAACACAUGCAAGUCGUACGAGAAAGUCCGCUUCGGUGCAUUAGUAAAGUGGCGCACGGGUGAGUAACGCGUGGAUAAUCUACCCUCUAGUUGGGAAUAACGUACCGAAAGGUGAGCUAAUACCGGAUACGUUUGAGAUGAUGCGAAUGAUUUCACAGAAAGGAGGCCUCUGCAUAUGCUUCCGUACAGGGAUGAGCUUGCGUACCAUUAGCUAGUUGGCAGGGUAAUGGCCUACCAAGGCGACGAUGGUUAGCGGGUCUGAGAGGAUGAUCCGCCACACUGGAACUGGAACACGGACCAGACUCCUACGGGUGGCUG
rnacentral:rRNA from 1 species